UAUUAAAAUUUUUAUCCAUUUUUACGGUUAAAAACUGCGUGAUUGACAGAAUAAUCAAAAAGCAACACGCGACGAUCCAUGUAUACAUAAUUCUAAUGUACAUGGACCAAUUUUUAACAAUAGAAAUCGAUGGAAUUUUUAACA
rfam:Gossypium raimondii Chr04_contig_1403, whole genome shotgun sequence.